UGCGUAGGGGGCAAGCGUUGUCCGGAUUUAUUGGGCGUAAAGAGCGUGUAGGCGGCCAUACAGGUCAGCUGUGAAAACUCGAGGCUCAACCUCGAGACGUCGGUUGAAACCGUAUGGCUAGAGUCCGGAAGAGGCGAGUGGAAUUCCUGGUGUAGCGGUGAAAUGCGCAGAUAUCAGGAGGAACACCAAUAGCGAAGGCAGCUCGCUGGGACGUUACUGACACUGAGGCGCGAAAGCGUGGGGAGCGAACAGG
rnacentral:rRNA from 1 species